CGGAUCCGGUUCGCUAAUUUCUACAACUUUUUACUUUAGAUAUAAACAUAAAUUGUUUAUACAUUAAACUUUACACACUAUUCCCAAAAUCGAGUAACCUUAACGUAUACACAAUCAUGACUGUCUAACACAUGACAGUACUAUUCUUCAACAUACUUUACAACUUAACUUCACAUUCUAUCCCAAGCUGAACUUGGCAUUAUCCUUUUCCUGUAUCUGGCCGUAUUCGCCUUAUCUGCAAUGUUUUAUCAUGAUAUAGCAAGGGUGAGCAUGAAAGUUGCCCAGCAAGUUUAAAAAAAACAAGGUAAAGAUAUAUCAUGAUUGAAAGAGUUUGAAUAAUAAGCUGGCUAUCCUUCACAAUGUAGUUGUGAAUUAGCAUGAACAAAAUUUCAAAGCUGAAUGAACAUUGAAAAUGAACAUAACAAUUAUAUCUGAACUGACUGGUAAUGAAGGUGAUCAGCCUUUCAUACCUGAUGAAUACAUGCAAUAUGUACAGAGUACAAUUCAUAAGCAUAUCUG
rnacentral:lncRNA from 1 species